CAGCCGCCGCGGUAAUACGAAGGGUGCAAGCGUUAAUCGGAAUUACUGGGCGUAAAGCGCGCGUAGGUGGUUCAUUAAGUUGAAUGUGAAAGCCCUGGGCUCAACCUGGGAACUGCAUCCAAAACUGGUGAGCUAGAGUACGGUAGAGGGUAGUGGAAUUUCCUGUGUAGCGGUGAAAUGCGUAGAUAUAGGAAGGAACACCAGUGGCGAAGGCGACUACCUGGACUGAUACUGACACUGAGGUGCGAAAGCGUGGGGAGCAAACAGGAUUAGAUACCCGGGUAGUCCCUGUCUCUUAUAC
rnacentral:rRNA from 1 species